UGUUGGAUAGGUCUUGGCCUGGUCGUGGCGCGUUGCAUCCCUCAGUUCGGUUUCCGCUAAUCGUGUGAUAAGACGUUGUCCCGGUCGUACACGUUACGGAUGCGGAGUUCACUGAACGUCGAGUACGCGCGGGAGGACCUCCGUUGAUGAUGACGACAGUUGCGGGGCAGAGGCUGUUCAAAUAGUUUCGGUGAUCCGAGAAAUUUUUGACAAAUUACGUGCGGCUUUUUAAUUUUGCGGUUUGGCGGUCACCAGAGUUUGGUUCAAACCCGCGAGAAGACGGAUACCAGACGGAAUGGCCUGAGAAGAACUAGUAGGAAGAGGCGCAGUGAAGGAUUCGUCUUUCCGUUGAAAGUGAAGGUGAUUCGGGAAAUUAAAGAAGAAGGAAAACAGCCACACAGCAAAAGUUCGCACACACAAGUGAAAGUGAGAUAAUAAAAAAGGCAGUGUGUAUUGUCACAAAAAUGGGAAAACAUAAAUAAAAAAGUGUUUAACAAAAAUGUCACUGUAUUUUUCCCACGCCUCCCGGUUGUCGUCGUCGUCCUCUGUGUUUGGUAACAGGUUCCGAAUCGGUGUGUUAAGUGUGAAAUAAUUGUCUAUUUUUAAAACAUCCCGUCGUGGACACAACGCCGCAACGACUUGGCGAUGGAUCUGGCGGGAAAAAGUGUCGAUGUUUCGUCGUAUGGGAUGUGUGUGUUUGUGUGUAAGCGUAAAUAUAAUUAAAAUAAAAUAAUAAAAAAAUCUGAGGAAAAAAUAAAGCGUGAAAAAGUUUUCCCGCAAAUAAAAAUAUAAACGGAAAAAGGCGAAAAAUAAACCAGUUGGUGUACGUAAUUAAACGACCAAUUGGAAAAGUCCUGAAAACAUACCCCGCACUUUAGUGUGGUUGACAAGAUCGGGGGACCAUUCGCAGCCGGUGGUACAACGACGCCGUUUUUUUUUUU